rnacentral:rRNA from 1 species
UUGGGGAUCUUGCACAAUGGGCGAAAGCCUGAUGCAGCGACGCCGCGUGAGCGCUAAGGCCUUCGGGUCGUAAAGCUCUUUUCGGAGGGCAGAAAACCUGGGAUGUUCCCGGGUCUGACAUCAACUCCGGAAUAAGCCCCGGCUAACUACGUGCCAGCAGCCGCGGUAAUACGUAGGGGGCGAGCGUUGUCCGGAAUCACUGGGCGUAAAGAGUCCGUAGGCGGCCCGCCAAGUCGCGCGUGAAAGCCCCAGGCUCAACUUGGGGAGUACUCGCGAUACUGGCAGGCUUGAGGACAGGAGGGGCGAGCGGAACGUUGCAAGUAGCGGUGAAAUGCAUUGAUAUGCAACGGAACACCAAUGGCGAAGGCAGCUCGCUGGACUGUUUCUGACGCUGAGGGACGAAAGCCAGGGCAGCGAACGGGAUUAGAUACCCCGGUAGUCCUGGCCGUAAACGAUGGGUACUAGGCGUGGGGGUAUCGACCCCCUCGUGCCGCAGCUAACG